rnacentral:lncRNA from 1 species
GCUUUAGUCGGCCUCGGUAACGCAACAACUUAUAUCGGAGAGAACCUGCCGGGGGCCCUCGCAUCCUGGUCCUAAACAAACUUAGUGUCCCGAAGGGGAGGCUGGUCUUAAGGCCGGAGAUCAAAGAAACGUUGGAACUCGGCAUACAAACGCAACACGGUCGAACGAUCCUUCUAAUGCUAAAGGGUUGCUAGAGAGAUGAGACGAAAGGGAUCCCUGUGAUUCUAUCAAUGCUAAAACCCCAGGAAUCAGGUGGCAGGCAGUUGGAGGAAAGGGGACUUAAAAGAGAAUUUUGGAGGAAAAGAACUUGAUUUGGUUGCGUGGACUGUUUAUUGUGGGUAACACACGUAGGAACGCGAGGGUUGACAACUGGUGAAUACGUUUCUCUGACUUAUUUAAAGAGCUCCAGUUCGUCAAUGGGGAGAGAGCACUUUAAAAAUGGGACAGAGGUAUUUAAAAAUCUUGGACAAGCGCUUUCACUUUUGGAGAUAGUUGGAAGCUGUCCAAAUGUAAAAGGGACCCGUUUACAGUUCUAUGCAAGAUGGCAGUGGAGAACUUAACAGAAUUGCUAGCUGCCUUUCCAGAAGCCAUAAAUUAAUAACAGUGGAUAGUCAGAAUGACUAUGAAGGAUCAAAUCCAGGAAAUACUCUGUUGGAAAAAGAGGAGGAUUUAGUCAUGAAAUAGAUACAGUGUUAAAAGAAUACUUAAAAAUUGCGGGCUGGUGUGUAGCCCAGUGGUAGAGCUCUUGCCAUUUUUUUUUUUUUAAAGUUGUCCAUGGACCUUUAUUUUAUUUAUUUAUAUGUGAUGCUGAGGAUCGAACGCAGUGCCUCACACAUACCAGGCCAGCGCUCUACCACUGAGCCACAACUCCAGCCCAAGCUCUUGCCAAUUUGAGCAUGUAUUUUCCCCCAAAUAUUGUAUACUUCUUUUGGCUAACAUGUGACUGCUAAUAUAAAUAUAUCACGUCUGUUAUAAAACAUACAAAAAUAUAAAUUUUAAAGAAUGAUUUUUUAAAAAAUGGUAGAACACUCCCAACUCAAUUUGAAGAUCAUAUUGGAACUCUGCAUACAAACGGAAAACUGUCAGUCCAACGAUCCUUCUAAUGCUAAAGGGUUGCCAAGAGAGAUGAGCCAAUGCCUUGUUUUUUCAAGGUUGUUUGCACCUGAG